CCUACGGGGGGCAGCAGUGGGGAAUAUUGCACAAUGGGCGAAAGCCUGAUGCAGCAACGCCGCGUGAAGGAAGAAGGGUUUCGGCUCGUAAACUUCUAUCAACAGGGACGAAAGAAAUGACGGUACCUGAAUAAGAAGCCCCGGCUAACUACGUGCCAGCAGCCGCGGUAAUACGUAGGGGGCAAGCGUUAUCCGGAAUUACUGGGUGUAAAGGGUGAGUAGGCGGCAUGGUAAGCCAGAUGUGAAAGCCUUGGGCUUAACCCGAGGAUUGCAUUUGGAACUAUCAAGCUAGAGUACAGGAGAGGAAAGCGGAAUUCCUAGUGUAGCGGUGAAAUGCGUAGAUAUUAGGAAGAACACCAGUGGCGAAGGCGGCUUUCUGGACUGAAACUGACGCUGAGGCACGAAAGCGUGGGGAGCGAACAGGAUUAGAUACCCCGGU
rnacentral:rRNA from 1 species